AGUGAACGCUGGCGGUAGGCCUAACACAUGCAAGUCGAACGGCAGCACAGUAAGAGCUUGCUCUUACGGGUGGCGAGUGGCGGACGGGUGAGGAAUACAUCGGAAUCUACUUUUUCGUGGGGGAUAACGUCGGGAAACUUACGCUAAUACCGCAUACGACCUACGGGUGAAAGCAGGGGAUCUUCGGACCUUGCGCGAUUGAAUGAGCCGAUGUCGGAUUAGCUAGUUGGCGGGGUAAAGGCCCACCCAGGCGAGGAUCCGUAGCUGGUCUGAGAGGAUGAUCAGCCACACUGGAACUGAGACACGGUCCAGACUCCUACGGGAGGCAGCAGUGGGGAAUAUUGGACAAUGGGCGCAAGCCUGAUCCAGCCAUACCGCGUGGGUGAAGAAGGCCUUCGGGUUGUAAAGCCCUUUUGUUGGGAAAGAAAAGCAGCAGGUUAAUACCCCGCUGUUCUGACGGUACCCAAAGAAUAAGCACCGGCUAACUUCGUG
rnacentral:rRNA from 1 species